AGCGAAACAAGUGGAAGUCUGAUGGCGCAACGUCAGAUCCCACUGAGAUGUACAAUGGAUUCACCUCGCAGACCAGACAAAUGAAACUACUCAAAGUACUGAUCGUGCCAUGCUGUUUCACAACUCUGUUCAAGCUGAUGUCUCCAAUUGGCACUUCCUGCCUGCUGUGAUCCAGUGGAAAGCUUAACUCCUUCUAUAAAAUUAAGCUCAAUGAACAUGUACUCUGUGAUCACUCCUCCUCUACAACAGUGCUAUAAUGUGUUAAUGACAAUUAAGUGUAUUGAGCCCUACAAUAGUUAUGCGCUUGCCCAUUUUAACUUAUUUAAUUCAUCC